CUGCGCUAGAUAUGAGUCUGAAAACGUACCUCCAUGCAGGGGAUGGGAUAUGUCCCUGUACUCCAACAUGAGGACUACAGUGGCAUAUCACAUCCCAUGCAUGGAGGUACAUUUUCCCGAACCAUAUCUCACCUGGCUCCAAAGUGAAUGUAACGAUGACUUUAUUCCGACCCCAGUGCAGCUCAGUGUAAACAAGCUCAUGGUAGUCAGUAUAUUCUAGCAACUAUAUGGAUGGAACAAGACAAAACUACCUACACAGAGUCGGUCUAUGACUGAUCUAUGAACUAAAAUGAAUAACCAACAUCCACUGUCACAAAGUGCUGUCCAGAAAGGCCCCCCGCUACUUGGAAACGGGGACGACUCUUUGAAGAGUCAGAAGCAGAGGAAUCAAGAGGACGGUUGUCGUGUCCUUGGCGGUAGAAAGGCGAACUGAAAGUGAAAUAGUGAACCAGCCUAACAAGGAAGCCAGACAUUGAACCGUUUUGUAGCCACUUCUCUAGUUGCAAUUUCAUUGAUUUGUGAUAUCGCAGCCGGACGUUUCUGCAAACACCUCGUUAGUAUGUAACUAGUUAGCGGACACUGGACGUGUUGUAUAUGUUUGCUUGCCAGAUAUCUAACGUUACUGUUACCUUUUGACAUUGUGUUAUUAAAGUCAGUCGAUAGAUACUAAAACUAGGUGUAAUAAUCUUCCACAACCAUGGAAUAUAUGACAGCCGUCCAGAAGAAGAGACGCCACGAAGGAGACCUUCAAACCCGGAAAGAUUGCCAAGCGAAACGACUGUGCAACGGAGUGGGAGUCUGCGUCCGGGUUGAACAUGGCGGGAUGGUGACUGACGGUGCCAUGGAUGCCAGCAUGCAACAGCAGGGUGUCCCAAACAGCGGUGUCGGCAUCAACCACCCAGCUUCUAACAUGGUCUAUGCAGUCCAAGGCAGCCAAUGUUGUAAUCGGUGCCUGGCAGGGGAGCCCGGCCACAUUAACCACAUCAUGGGGUAUUGAUCGGUUAUCGUCAUGAUCAGAGAUCGUUUGAAGAACUGAAGGAUCCUUGAGGAUGAAGAGAAUGAUCGAUUGAUUGAGUGCUUGAUCAAGUCAUUGUGUAUGUGGCUGUGAACCGUUUUAUCAGUGUGCCUUGCCUUUUCUAGCUGUUAUUAACCACAAGCACUGUACUGCUUCAUGUAUAGCCUCGCAUGUUUACACUACCUAACACUGGGUAUGGGGGAAAUGGCUACUAACCAGACAGUAGACAUGGUGAUUUCAUACCGUCUUACUAACAUUCUGUUUGAAUGGAAAGAUAACCACUACAGUGUAGUCUACACACAACCAUAAGGAAGGAGCCAUCAAGCCACAAGUAAUACUGAAACUUUACACUGUAAUGUGGAUACUCCUUUAAUGUCAAUGGAUGUAUUAAAUGAAAUAAAAUACGUAUUGUCCCAGUAUCAAGACUGCUUUCUAAAGCUGCCAGAAAAUAUAAAUGUAAAUAGUAAUAUUGAUAAGUUAAAAACUUUUUAAAGUUAUAUAAUUGUUAACCUUUUUUUGAAAUGGAUAAUCCUGUCUGCAAAUAUAUUUUUCUGAAAUAAAUAUUUGAUAUAUUUUUCUAAAAUGUAAUUGGCUGAAUAUAAAAUAAGAAGUUUGUAACCAAUAUUUGUGCUAAUCGUUUCAUUUUGGAUAGUGUCCUGAAUUGUGUUUAAUCUCAUGAACGUUUUCAGCCAGUUUUCAAUAGUUUGAUCUACACUUGAAAUGUAGAGCCGUUUUGACAAGGAUUUGUCUGUUUCCCACUAGAUGUGGUUUUGUGUCGUCUUAGAAUGAUUUGAAGCCAGUUUCCACCUUGCCAAGCAGUGAGUUUUAUAGUUGAUGCUGUUCAAUUUCAGGUUAUGACUCAAUGUAAUAGUUUUAUUUUUAGUACAAGGAAAAACAACUUUCAAUAAAGUAUGAUUUGAUGAACAA
ensembl:lncRNA